UCUUGUGAUUGAUUUUUGCAUGUUGUUAUGUAGUUGCACCUACUUUUACUAUUGUUUACACUAAUUAUGACAUGAUCAUCAUCGCUGUUAUACAAGAUCCAUAAAAAGUAAAUUAAAUUAAAAAUCCAUUAAUAUAUUCCGCGGUUUUGCAAAUAUCUUA
rnacentral:sRNA from 1 species